rfam:Felis catus isolate Cinnamon breed Abyssinian chromosome D2, whole genome shotgun sequence.
GCCUGGGUGGCUCAGUCGGUUAAGUGUCCGACUUUGGCUCAGGUUAUGAUCUCGUGGUUUGUGGGUUCGAGCCCCACGUCGGGCU